UGGGGAAUCUUGCACAAUGGGGUCACCCCUGAUGCAGCCAUGCCGCGUGGAGGAAGACACCCCUAUGGGGCGUAAACUCCUUUUCUGAGAGAAGAAACCCCUGUAGGUUCAGGGUGUGACGGUAUCUCAGGAAUAAGCACCGGCUAACUCCGUGCCAGCAGCCGCGGUAAUACGGAGGGUGCAAGCGUUGUCCGGAAUCACUGGGCGUAAAGGGUGUGCAGGUGGGGCAGCAAGUCAGGGUUGAAAGCCCGCGGCUUAACCGCGGACGUGCCUUUGAAACUGUUGCUCUUGAGUCCCGGAGAGGUUGCCGGAAUUCGUGGUGUAGCGGUGAAAUGCGUAGAUAUCACGAGGAACACCAGAGGCGAAAGCGGGCAACUGGACGGGUACUGACACUGAGGCACGAAAGCGUGGGGAGCAAACA
rnacentral:rRNA from 1 species